UCUUUCAUGCCAAAUUAUUUAACAAGCAACUCAUUAUCCGAUUUCUAACAGUGUAAAUGCCAAAAGUAAAUCAGAAACCUAUCGUUUUAAGGGCACGACGUAAAAUUCGUUAGGAGGAACUUGUUUUUUCCCUUCUUGCCACAAGCGUCCCAGACUCACGAUUCGAAGAAUCGAUCAAAUAUUUUAUAUAUGGUUAUCGAGUGGGACGUGACCGCAGUGUUGUGUUUCACUUAGGUCAUUGAGAAUUUGAGCGCUCUAAAAGGCAUUGUAUGGAGUUUAAAAUGACGAAUGAUAAAAAAGCGCAAUAAAAUAAAAUGUUACUUUAAAAAAAAUAAAAAUAAAUAAAGGACGAAGUUUAUAGAAAGCCGCUACAAACACCUCAGAAACCCCCAAAACGAUGAAAUAGGCCAAAUGGACAGCGGAAGCCAGGCAAGGCGGGUAUAUUUGUUUUAUUUUAUUUAAAAAUAGUAACAUUUUAUUUUGCUGAGCUUCUUUAUUCUUCGUUAUUUUAAACUCUAUACAAUGCCAUUUUAGAGCGCUCAGAUAGUGUAACACAACACCCCGCACUUUAGGUGGUCACGUCUCACUCGAUACGCGUACAUAAAUCAUUAAUAUUUGAUCGCCGAUCCCUGGAAUCGUGAGUUUGGGAUGCUUGUGUUCUUCCUCGCGUUUCUCGCCUCUUCGUCUCCUUCUCCGCAAUACGCCUACAACGCAGCUUAGAAACGUCAAGAACGCCUCAUCUUUGGCUACCAGUGGCGUAGCGGAUAGAUAGAUGUAAAGGAAAUCCCGGCGAGAAAGACAAUUCCCGGGAGAUAAUCUUUGCAGAGACCUUGUUUUAUGGCUUCCUGACUCGGACAAGAUAAUAAUGACGAUGACGAUGGCUUCAUGACACCCGGAGAGCCACGUUUACCCUAGUCGUACUUUGUCAUUUUCGUAGUAGAAUUAACUGAUUGCAAGGGAAUGAGAAAGAAGUCUCUCCUCUGUCGCCGUCUUUCGACGACAGCUGACAGCAUCACUCAAGUCGGCAUUCUUUCACGUGUUGUCGUCCAUCGAUGGUUGUUUGGAGCUGUUCCCUGACGCUUUCAGCUGUUUCGAUGGAAUGUCCGCGUGAUCAGUUAGUCGGCUGCCAGUGUCUGCUUCACUCUCGUCCAGCAUGCGUGGGUAUGAAGUAGUUAAAACAGAUUUUUUAUGUCAGCGUAUUACAAGUUGCAGCUUUUGAUAUAUGUGAGCUUAGAUGUAGAGAGGCUCAUGCAUUGGAGUGCGGUUGUUUUGUUUAAGGGGUGACAAAUUUGCUACAAAUCGAAUCGAUUCGUCACAACCUCGUGUCGCUGCGAAAGUCAACCUGGUGACAAACAAGUGUAAAUGUGUAGCUCUGGUGACGAAUUAAUUUCGAAAACCUACUGCACCCAGCCCAGAAUUUCACCGGUAGAGAGUUUUUGAUUGCGAAGCAACUUGAAAAUACCUGGCCAAUUUGACUAAUGCGCCGUUCAAUUCCAAGCUUCAACAUCCAACCCCCCGGCAUUUUCUCGCCCCCUGAGCCAAAAUUGCGUUCAAAUGCACUACCCAAGUGCCGGAUCCGAUGGGUUUGGGAAAGUAAAUCACCAUUUUGAUUGUAGAUUUACUGUUGAACAAUUUUUAAUUGAAGGAUUCCUUGUGUGAUCCUCGAACUUUGUAAAAUUUAGCAAAGUCGGGUAUUGAUUUUUGUGCGGAAUUUCCCACAGUUUGUCAACGUCAGCGAUAUUUAUUCAUUUAUUUAUUUAUUUAUUUAUUUGUCCAC